rnacentral:rRNA from 1 species
GGGCGCAGCCUGAUCCAGCAAUGCCGCGUGCAGGACGAAGGCCUUCGGGUUGUAAACUGCUUUUGUACGGAACGAAACGGCUUUCUCUAAUACUGGGGGCUAAUGACGGUACCGUAAGAAUAAGCACCGGCUAACUACGUGCCAGCAGCCGCGGUAAUACGUAGGGUGCAAGCGUUAAUCGGAAUUACUGGGCGUAAAGCGUGCGCAGGCGGUUAUGUAAGACAGAUGUGAAAUCCCCGGGCUUAACCUGGGAACUGCAUUUGUGACUGCAUGGCUGGAGUUUGGCAGAGGGA